GAUUGAACGCUGGCGGCAGGCCUAACACAUGCAAGUCGAGCGGAAACGGCAGUAUUGAAGCUUCGGUGGAUUUACUGGACAUCGAGCGGCGGACGGGUGAGUAACGGCUGGGAACCUGCCCUGACGAGGGGGAUAACCGUUGGAAACGACGGCUAAUACCGCAUAAUGUCUUAGUUCAUUACGAGCUGGGACCAAAGGUGGCCUCUACAUGUAAGCUAUCGCGUUGGGAUGGGCCCAGUUAGGAUUAGCUAGUUGGUAAGGUAAUGGCUUACCAAGGCAACGAUCCUUAGCUGGUUUGAGAGGAUGAUCAGCCACACUGGGACUGAGACACGGCCCAGACUCCUACGGGAGGCAGCAGUGGGGAAUAUUGCACAAUGGGGGAGACCCUGAUGCAGCCAUGCCGCGUGUGUGAAGAAGGCCUUCGGGUUGUAGAGCACUUUCAGCAGUGAGGAAGGUCGUGUACUUAAUACGUGCACGGCUUGACGUUAGCUGCAGAAGAAGCACCGGCUAACUCCGUGCCAGCAGCCGCGGUAAUACGGAGGGUGCGAGCGUUAAUCGGAAUUACUGGGCGUAAAGCGCAUGCAGGCGGUUUGUUAAGUCAGAUGUGAAAGCCCGGGCUCAACCUCGGAACCGCAUUUGAAACUGGCAGGCUAGAGUCUUGUAGAGGGGGGUAGAAUUUCAGGUGUAGCGGUGAAAUGCGUAGAGAUCUGAAGGAAUACCAGUGGCGAAGGCGGCCCCCUGGACAAAGACUGACGCUCAGAUGCGAAAGCGUGGGUAGCAAACAGGAUUAGAUACCCUGGUAGUCCACGCCGUAAACGCUGUCUACUUGGAGGUUGAGGUUUUAGACUUUGGCUUUCGGCGCUAACGCAUUAAGUAGACCGCCUGGGGAGUACGGCCGCAAGGUUAAAACUCAAAUGAAUUGACGGGGGCCCGCACAAGCGGUGGAGCAUGUGGUUUAAUUCGAUGCAACGCGAAGAACCUUACCUACUCUUGACAUCCAGCGAAGCCUUUAGAGAUAGAGGUGUGCCUUCGGGAGCGCUGAGACAGGUGCUGCAUGGCUGUCGUCAGCUCGUGUUGUGAAAUGUUGGGUUAAGUCCCGCAACGAGCGCAACCCUUAUCCUUGUUUGCCAGCACGUAAUGGUGGGAACUCCAGGGAGACUGCCGGUGAUAAACCGGAGGAAGGUGGGGACGACGUCAAGUCAUCAUGGCCCUUACGAGUAGGGCUACACACGUGCUACAAUGGCAGAUACAGAGGGCAGCGAGACAGCGAUGUUUAGCGAAUCCCUUAAAGUUUGUCGUAGUCCGGAUUGGAGUCUGCAACUCGACUCCAUGAAGUCGGAAUCGCUAGUAAUCGUGGAUCAGAAUGCCACGGUGAAUACGUUCCCGGGCCUUGUACACACCGCCCGUCACACCAUGGGAGUGGGCUGCACCAGAAGUAGAUAGCUUAACCUUCGGGAGGGCGUUUACCACGGUGUGGUUCAUGACUGGGGU
rnacentral:rRNA from 1 species